CUUUUUUAAUUGAAUCAUCUACUAAACCUUUACCAGUUAAAUGUAUGACUUGGUAUUGGUGUAAUAAUGCUUCUAGGUUUUCACGAAUAGCAUCAUUUAAUUUUUUACUGCCUAAGCUACCACCCAUAACAAGUAAAACCUUUUUAUCUUGUUUAAAUUCAGUUAAUUGAUAGCC
rnacentral:ncRNA from 19 species